CUUGCAAUUUCCACCGUAAAUAUUUAUAAUAUACGCGUCGCGCAAGCGAUGAUGAUUCUGAAAUCUUUGUGGAAUAGACGUUUUGGACUGGGGGGCGGUACCCCACAGCUCCACCAUUAUUAUUUCAGAGAAUCAUUGUGGUUGUUUGACCGCAGUGGUUGAACGUCGGGGGGCUGACAUAGUUUCGACAGGCGCAGUAAAGACAAAAGAUUGAAUCCGACAUGGCGUCGUUAAAAGCCGAUUAAAAACUGAAUGGCGAUAGAAUCGCUGCGAACGACAAUGUUCGCCUUGCAAUGGCUGCCUAA
rnacentral:tmRNA from 1 species